rnacentral:rRNA from 1 species
AUCCGGAGGAUCCGAGCGUUAUCCGGAUUUAUUGGGUUUAAAGGGUGCGCAGGCGGCCAUUUAAGUCAGCGGUUAAAUCGUGGGGCUCAACCCCAUUCUGCCGUUGAUACUGGGUGGCUUGAUUGCGGUCGAGGUUGGCGGAAUUCGUUGUGUAGCGGUGAAAGGCAUAGAUAUGACGAAGAACACCGAUUGCGUAGGCAGCUGACCAGACCGCAAAUGACGCUCAUGCACGAAAGUGCGGGGAUCGAACAGGAUUAGAUACCCUGGUAGUCCGCACAGUAAACGAUGAAUACUUGUUUUCGGCGAUAUAAUGUCGGAGGCAAAGCGAAAGCGAUAAGUAUUCCACCUGGGGAGUACGCCGGCAACGGUGAAACUUAAAGGAAUUGACGGGG